rnacentral:rRNA from 1 species
AUUGAACGCUGGCGGAAUGCUUUACACAUGCAAGUCGAACGGUAGAGGGGGCAACCCCUUGAGAGUGGCGAACGGGUGAGUAAUAUAUCGGAACGUGCCCAGUCGUGGGGGAUAACGUAGCGAAAGUUACGCUAAUACCGCAUACGAUCUAAGGAUGAAAGCGGGGGACCGUAAGGCCUCGCGCGAUUGGAGCGGCCGAUAUCAGAUUAGGUAGUUGGUGGGGUAAAGGCUCACCAAGCCAACGAUCUGUAGCUGGUCUGAGAGGACGACCAGCCACACUGGAACUGAGACACGGUCCAGACUCCUACGGGAGGCAGCAGUGGGGAAUUUUGGACAAUGGGGGAAACCCUGAUCCAGCAAUGCCGCGUGAGUGAAGAA